rnacentral:rRNA from 1 species
GACGAACGCUGGCGGCGUGCUUAACACAUGCAAGUCGAACGAAGAGCGAUGGAAGCUUGCUUCUAUCAAUCUUAGUGGCGAACGGGUGAGUAACGCGUAAUCAACCUGCCCUUCAGAGGGGGACAACAGUUGGAAACGACUGCUAAUACCGCAUACGAUUCAAUCUCGGCAUCGGGACUGGAUGAAAGGUGGUCUCUAUUUAUAAGCUAUCACUGAAGGAGGGGAUUGCGUCUGAUUAGCUAGUUGGAGGGGUAACGGCCCACCAAGGCGGGGAUGAGUAGCCGACCUGAGAGGGUGACGGGCCACAUGGGGACGGAGACAGGGCCCAGACUCCUACGGAAGGAGCCAGGAGGAAUCUUCCGCAAUGGACGGAAGUCUGACGGAGCAACGGCGCGGGAGUGAUGAAGGCCCUCGGGUUGUAAAGCUCUGUUAAUCGGGACGAAUGGUUCUUGUGCGAAUAGAGCGACGAUUUGACGGUACCGGAAUAGAAAGCCACGGCUAACUACGUG